UGGCGGCGUGGAUAAGACAUGCAAGUCGAACGAGAGAAUUGCUAGCUUGCUAAUAAUUCUCUAGUGGCGCACGGGUGAGUAACACGUGAGUAACCUGCCCCCGAGAGCGGGAUAGCCCUGGGAAACUGGGAUUAAUACCGCAUAGUAUCGAAAGAUUAAAGCAGCAAUGCGCUUGGGGAUGGGCUCGCGGCCUAUUAGUUAGUUGGUGAGGUAACGGCUCACCAAGGCGAUGACGGGUAGCCGGUCCGAGAGGAUGUCCGGCCACACUGGAACUGAGACACGGUCCAGACACCUACGGGUGGCAGCAGUCGAGAAUCAUUCACAAUGGGGGAAACCCUGAUGGUGCGACGCCGCGUGGGGGAAUGAAGGUCUUCGGAUUGUAAACCCCUGUCAUGUGGGAGCAAAUUAAAAAGAUAGUACCACAAGAGGAAGAGACGGCUAACUCUGUGCCAGCAGCCGCGGUAAUACAGAGGUCUCAAGCGUUGUUCGGAAUCACUGGGCGUAAAGCGUGCGUAGGCUGUUUCGUAAGUCGUGUGUGAAAGGCGCGGGCUCAACCCGCGGACGGCACAUGAUACUGCGAGACUAGAGUAAUGGAGGGGGAACCGGAAUUCUCGGUGUAGCAGUGAAAUGCGUAGAUAUCGAGAGGAACACUCGUGGCGAAGGCGGGUUCCUGGACAUUAACUGACGCUGAGGCACGAAGGCCAGGGGAGCGAAAGGGAUUAGAUACCCCUGUAGUCCUGGCAGUAAACGGUGCACGCUUGGUGUGCGGGGAAUCGACCCCCUGCGUGCCGGAGCUAACGCGUUAAGCGUGCCGCCUGGGGAGUACGGUCGCAAGAUUAAAACUCAAAGAAAUUGACGGGGACCCGCACAAGCGGUGGAGUAUGUGGCUUAAUUCGAUGCAACGCGAAGAACCUUACCUGGGCUUGACAUGUAAUGAACAACAUGUGAAAGCAUGCGACUCUUCGGAGGCGUUACACAGGUGCUGCAUGGCCGUCGUCAGCUCGUGUCGUGAGAUGUUUGGUUAAGUCCAGCAACGAGCGCAACCCCUGUUGCCAGUUACCAGCACGUGAAGGUGGGGACUCUGGCGAGACUGCCCAGAUCAACUGGGAGGAAGGUGGGGACGACGUCAGGUCAGUAUGGCCCUUAUGCCCAGGGCUGCACACGUACUACAAUGCCCAGUACAGAGGGGGCCGAAGCCGCGAGGCGGAGGAAAUCCUGAAAACUGGGCCCAGUUCGGACUGUAGGCUGCAACCCGCCUACACGAAGCCGGAAUCGCUAGUAAUGGCGCAUCAGCUACGGCGCCGUGAAUACGUUCCCGGGUCUUGUACACACCGCCCGUCACAUCAUGGAAGCCGGUCGCACCCGAAGUAUCUGAAGCCAACCGCAAGGAGGCAGGGUCCUAAGGUGAGACUGGUAACUGGGAUGAAA
rnacentral:rRNA from 1 species